UCCCUUGUAGCUCAGUUGGUAAAGAAUCUGCCUUCAAUGCAGGAGGCCUGGGUUCAAUUCCUGGAUUGGGAA
rnacentral:tRNA from 1 species